GCCUUCUUAGCUCAGUGGUAGAGCGUUGCACUCGUAUAUGUGGCCUUCUACCCAUCAAUAGGUAAAUACAAUGCAAAGGCCAGUCGUUCGAUCCGGCUAGAAGGCA